rnacentral:lncRNA from 1 species
AGUAGUUUUCAAAAACCCAGUAACCAGUCACCCAUGGGCCCAGAGCACAGGAGGUGGGUAUCCAGCUCAGAGAGAGUAGAUACACCCUUCCUGGGCCCUCUUGUUCUUUCUAGGCUUUUGGUGUUGCCCAGUGCACUGAGUGAAGAGGUUGGAGUGCACUGAGUGUUGGAGGCCUCUUGAAUUUCCCAAUGUCCCAUGGUCAUUGUAACAGGUAAAAGGCUGGGUCUUCCCUUGGAUCUGUGACUCUUGGAACUUGGCCCAUUGUAUUGAAAGAAUAGCCACUUAAUAUCCAGAUAAUGAGGGCAGAUGCAGGUUGCGCCUCUUGGAGGACCCAUCCCCAGUUCAGCAGUACUUGGAAGUCAGUACCUGAGUCGUGUGGCUUAGGAAUGUCACUGUCUGUCAAGGCCUGUAUGGUGAGCCAGAAGUAUCCAGAGUGGGCCAGGUGAAGGUUAACAAGCUGACAAUUGCUUCAGGAAGCUCUGGGAAAACUUGGUUAUCCUGAUGGGGGUCCCAACAGCAGGAUCAGUUGUCUGCGUUUGACUUUACUCUGCAGUCUGGUCCUAGAAUGUGUGAGCUCUGUUUGUUUCCAAAGGUAGCUGUGGCCUGGCAGCUUUAAGCUUACCUGGACUCUAAAGCCUCACAUUUUAUACCUGGCAUGCACUAUUAGAAUACACUGAAUUUUAGUGUGUACUUUGUCAGUGUCUUCUGCCUACUCAGUUCUUAACACACUUCCUUGGGUCUAAAUUUAAAUUUACUGCUAAAAUGAAAGUAAUUCUCAAGAUACUGUUGUUAGGUGUGUGACUUCUAGCACAUGUUUUUUUCAGAACAGUGAUAUUUAUAGAAUACUGUGAUGUAUUCCAGUGAUAGCAAAAUGCAACAAAGCUUCUUAUAACAAACUCCCAUUAUAGCCACUUCUGAUGGGUAUAAGUCAGUGACAUUUAUGUGUCCAGUGUUGUGAAGUGAUCACUGAUACAAAGUUGCAGGAUGUUCGAUCCAGACAGAAACUUCAGCCCACCAGUUGAAACUGACUAGCUUCUCCUGAGCCCCCUGGCAACCAGGAACCCGUUUUCUCUCUAUAGUUUGCUCAUUUGGAUAUUUCACAAAAAUGGACUCAUGCACUGGGUGGCCUUUGGUGUGUUGGCUUCUUCCACUCAAGGUUUCUACAAAACUUGGCUGUGUGAUGUAAUCUCAUUACUUUUAUGAGUAAGAAAUACUCCAUUCUGAGUGUAAGCUACGUAUUUCUCACUGUGAUGGUUAACUUGCUAAACUCGAUGGGCUUAGAAACGCCAUGAGAACACACCCCUGCGUAUGUCAGUGCAGGUGUUUCCAGGGAAUUCAGUGAGAGACCCACCAAGGAUGUGGGCGGCACCAUCCUAUGUGCUGGUAUCCUAGAAUGAAGAAAAAAGGAGGGCAAGAGCUGAGCACCAGCCAUCUCUCAACUUCCUGACUGCAGAUGCAAUGUGACCAGCUGCCUUAAGUUCCUGCAACCAUGACUUCCCACCACAAGGACUGUACCCUUAUACUGUGAGCCAAAUAAACCUUCCCUCAGUU